GGACGAACGCUGGCGGCGUGCCUAAUACAUGCAAGUCGAACGAACGGAGGAAGAGCUUGCUCUUCCAAAGUUAGUGGCGGACGGGUGAGUAACACGUGGGCAACCUGCCUGUAAGUUGGGGAUAACUCCGGGAAACCGGGGCUAAUACCGAAUAAUAAGUGGUGGCGCAUGCCACGGCUUUGAAAGAUGGUUUCGGCUAUCGCUUACAGAUGGGCCCGCGGUGCAUUAGCUAGUUGGUAGGGUAAUGGCCUACCAAGGCAACGAUGCAUAGCCGACCUGAGAGGGUGAUCGGCCACACUGGGACUGAGACACGGCCCAGACUCCUACGGGAGGCAGCAGUAGGGAAUCUUCCGCAAUGGACGAAAGUCUGACGGAGCAACGCCGCGUGUAUGAAGAAGGUUUUCGGAUCGUAAAGUACUGUUGUUAGAGAAGAACAAGGAUAAGAGUAACUGCUUGUCCCUUGACGGUAUCUAACCAGAAAGCCACGGCUAACUAC
rnacentral:rRNA from 1 species